UUGCCAAGCAUAUUUAUUAGUUUCAUC
rnacentral:piRNA from 1 species